rnacentral:rRNA from 1 species
UAAUUAUUAUUGAAUUACUAAAUUUUUUUUUUAUUUUAUUUUAUUUAUUAAAAAUAAUUAUAUAGUUUAAUGUUUUAGUAUAGUAUAUAGGAAAAAUAUUUAUAGUUAUAGUUUAUUAGUACUGUGAAGGAAUUUUGAAAUAUUUUGAAAUAAUUAAUAUUAAUUAAGAAAAUUUUAUUUAUUGUACCUUUUGUAUCAGGGUUAAUUAAAUAAUAAUUAGAUAUUUAAUGUUCUCGAUUUCAAAAGAGUUAAUAGAUUGUAAAAGUUAAUGUGGAAUAAUUAUUUUUAACAGUUUAUUGGAAAUGAAAAGUUAAUCGUUUUUGAAGGUAUCUAGUUUUUUAAGAUUUAAAUUUAAUUUAUUUAUAAUAGUUGAUUAAUAUUAUUUAUUUAAUAUUUAAUUAUUAUUAUGAAAAAAGUAAAGGGGAUAAGCUUUUUAUUUAUUUUAAAAAGAUAUUAAAAUUUUAAUAUAUUGUAGGCUUAGAAUUAGCUAACAAUAACAAUUAUGUUAUAAUUUAUUAUUAUUUUAUUAUUAUUUAAUAAUCUUUUAUUUAUUUAUUAAAAUUUUUUAUUUAAUUAGUUUUUAGAAUAAAAAAUGAUUAAAUUAGUAUAUUUAUUUGUAAUUUUAAUUAUUAUAUUUUAGAUUAUUUUAAUGAAUUUGGCAAAUAUUAUGUUCGCCUGUUUAUCAAAAACAUGUCUUUUUGUAAUUUAUAUAUAAAGUCUGACCUGCCCACUGAUAAAUUAUUAAAUGGCCGCAGUAUUUUAACUGUGCAAAGGUAGCGUAAUCAUUAGUCUUUUAAUUAAAGGCUUGAAUGAAUGGUUGGACGAGGCAUAUACUGUAUCAAAAUAAUAUAUAGAAUUUUAUUUUUUAGUUAAAAAGCUAAAAUAUUUAUGAAAGACGAGAAGACCCUAUAGAUCUUUAUAUUUUAAUUAAUUUUAAUUAUUUAGAUAAUUUAAGUUAAUAUUAAUUAAAUUAUUUUGUUGGGGUGACAUUAAGAUUUAUAUAACUCUUAAUUUAAUAUUACAUUGAUUUUUGAAUGAUUUAUUAAGUUUUGAUCCUAUAUUAUGGAUUAUAAAAUUAAGUUACCUUAGGGAUAACAGCGUAAUUUUCUUGGAAAGUUCUUAUUAAUAGGAAAGAUUGCGACCUCGAUGUUGGAUUAAGAUUAAUAUUGGGUGCAGAAGUUCAAUAUAUUAAGUCUGUUCGACUUUUAAUUUCUUACAUGAUCUGAGUUCAAACCGGCGUGAGCCAGGUUGGUUUCUAUCUUUAUUAAAUGUUAAUAUUUUAGUACGAAAGGACCAAAUAUUAAAAUUAUUAAUUUUAUUAAAUGAAUUUUAUUAAUUU